rnacentral:tRNA from 1 species
AGUGGUGAGAGCGAGCGACUCAUAAUCGCCAGGCCGCUGGUUCAAAUCCAGCAAGGGCCACCA